GACGAACGCUGGCGGCGUGCUUAACACAUGCAAGUCGAACGGAGCGAAUGAAAGCUUGCUUUUAUGAGCUUAGUGGCAAACGGGUGAGUAACACGUAGACAACCUGCCGACAGGAUGGGGACAACAUUCCGAAAGGAAUGCUAAUACCGAAUGAAGCGGAGGAGAGGCAUCUCUCCUCCGUGAAAGAUGGCCUCUGAAUAUGCUAUCACCUGUCGAUGGGUCUGCGUCUGAUUAGCUGGUUGGUGAGGUAACGGCUCACCAAGGCGACGAUCAGUAGCCGGUCUGAGAGGAUGAACGGCCACAUUGGGACUGAGACACGGCCCAGACUCCUACGGGAGGCAGCAGUGGGGAAUCUUCCGCAAUGGGCGCAAGCCUGACGGAGCAACGCCGCGUGAGUGAAGAAGGUCUUCGGAUCGUAAAGCUCUGUUGAUGGGGACGAACGUACGGAGUGCGAAUAGUGCUCUGUAAUGACGGUACCUAUCGAGGAAGCCACGGCUA
rnacentral:rRNA from 1 species